rnacentral:rRNA from 1 species
ACUCCUACGGGAGGCAGCAGUGAGGAAUAUUGGACAAUGGGUGGAAGCCUGAUCCAGCCAUCCCGCGUGCAGGAAGACGGCCCUAUGGGUUGUAAACUGCUUUUAUCUGGGGAUAAACCUACUUACGUGUAAGUAGCUGAAGGUACCAGAAGAAUAAGCACCGGCUAACUCCGUGCCAGCAGCCGCGGUAAUACGGAGGGUGCAAGCGUUAUCCGGAUUUAUUGGGUUUAAAGGGUCCGUAGGCGGACUGAUAAGUCAGUGGUGAAAUCCGACAGCUUAACUGUCGAACUGCCAUUGAUACUGUUAGUCUUGAGUAAGGUUGAAGUGGCUGGAAUAAGUAGUGUAGCGGUGAAAUGCAUAGAGAUUACUUAGAACACCAAUUGCGAAGGCAGGUCACUAAGUCUUAACUGACGCUGAUGGACGAAAGCGUGGGGAGCGAACAGGAUUAGAAACCCUAGUAGUCCCAUGAU